rnacentral:rRNA from 1 species
UGAAUGCUGACAUGAGUAGCGUUAAAGGGGGUGAAAAGCCCCCUCGCCGAAAGCGCAAGGUUUCCUACGCAACGUUCAUCGGCGUAGGGUGAGUCGGCCCCUAAGGCGAGGCAGAGAUGCGUAGCUGAUGGGAAACAGGUCAAUAUUCCUGUACCGAUAUGCAGUGCGAUGUGGGGACGGAGAAGGUUAGCUCGGCCGGGUGUUGGAUGUCCCGGUUCAAGCCUGUAGUCGUGCCUGGUAGGCAAAUCCGCCGGGCUUAGAUGAGAGGUGAUAACGAGGAGGCUUGCCUCCGAAGCGAGUGAUACCCUGCUUCCAGGAAAAGCCACUAAGCUUCAGCUGCAUACGACCGUACCGCAUAUCGACACUGGUGCGCGAGAUGAGUAUUCUAAGGCGCUUGAGAGAACUCUGGAGAAGGAACUCGGCAAAUUGACACCGUAACUUCGGAAGAAGGUGUGCCUUUAGUAGGUGAUCCCGUACAGGGGGAGCCCAAUGAGGCCGCAGAGAAUCGGUGGCUGCGACUGUUUAUUAAAAACACAGCACUCUGCAAAGACGAAAGUCGACGUAUAGGGUGUGACGCCUGCCCGGUGCUGGAAGAUUAAAUGAUGGGGUGCAAGCUCUUGAUUGAAGUCCCAGUAAACGGCGGCCGUAACAAUAACGGUCCUAAGGUAGCGAAAUUCCUUGUCGGGUAAGUUCCGACCUGCACGAAUGGCGUAACGAUGGCCACACUGUCUCCUCCAGAGACUCAGCGAAGUUGAAAUGUUUGUGAUGAUGCAAUCUCCCCGCGGAAAGACGGAAAGACCCCAUGAACCUUUACUGUAGCUUUACAUUGGACUUUGAACAGAUCUGUGUAGGAUAGGUGGGAGGCUUUGAAGCGGUGCCGCUAGGUGCCGUGGAGCCAACGUUGAAAUACCACCCUGGUGUGUUUGAGGUUCUAACCUUGGCCCGUGAUCCGGGUUGGGGACAGUGUAUGGUAGGCAGUUUGACUGGGGCGGUCUCCUCCCAAAGCGUAACGGAGGAGUUCGAAGGUACGCUAGGCACGGUCGGAAAUCGUGCUGAUAGUGCAUAGGCAUAAGCGUGCUUGACUGCGAGACUGACAAGUCGAGCAGGUACGAAAGUAGGACUAAGUGAUCCGGUGGUUCUGCAUGGAAGGGCCAUCGCUCAACGGAUAAAAGGUACUCUGGGGAUAACAGGCUGAUACCGCCCAAGAGUUCAUAUCGACGGCGGUGUUUGGCACCUCGAUGUCGGCUCAUCUCAUCCUGGGGCUGUAGCCGGUCCCAAGGGUAUGGCUGUUCGCCAUUUAAAGAGGUACGUGAGCUGGGUUUAAAACGUCGUGAGACAGUUUGGUCCCUAUCUUCCGUGGGCGCUGCAAGAUUGAGAGAGCCUGCUCCUAGUACGAGAGGACCGGAGUGGACGCACCUCUGGUGUAUCGGUUGUCACGCCCGUGGCAUUGCCGAGUAGCUAAGUGCGGAAGAGAUAACCGCUGAAAGCAUCUAAGCGGGAAACUCGUCUCAAGAUGAGUCUUGCCGGGGCCUUGAGCCCCCUGAAGAGUCGUUCGAGACCAGGACGUUGAUAGGCCGGGUGUGGA